GUGCUUACACAUGCAGUCGAGCGGUAAGGCCCUUUCGGGGGUACACGAGCGGCGAACGGGUGAGUAACACGUGGGUGACCUGCCCUCCACUCUGGGAUAAGCCCGGGAAACUGGGUCUAAUACCGGAUAGGACCACUGAUCGCAUGGUUGGUGGUGGAAAGUUUUUUCGGUGGGGGAUGGGCCCGCGGCCUAUCAGCUUGUUGGUGGGGUGAUGGCCUACCAAGGCGGUGACGGGUAGCCGGCCUGAGAGGGCGACCGGCCACACUGGGACUGAGACACGGCCCAGACUCCUACGGGAGGCAGCAGUGGGGAAUAUUGCGCAAUGGGCGGAAGCCUGACGCAGCGACGCCGCGUGGGGGAUGACGGCCUUCGGGUUGUAAACCUCUUUCGCCAGGGACGAAGAGCAAUUGACGGUACCUGGAGAAGAAGCACCGGCCAACUACGUGCCAGCAGCCGCGGUAACACGUAGGGUGCGAGCGUUGUCCGGAAUUAUUGGGCGUAAAGAGCUCGUAGGCGGUGUGUCGCGUCGGCCGUGAAAACUUGGGGCUUAACUCUGAGCGUGCGGUCGAUACG
rnacentral:rRNA from 1 species